rnacentral:tRNA from 1 species
GAAGGUACAACUCAGUGGUAGAGCGCACGCUUAGCAUGCAUGAGGUCCUGGGUUCAAUUUCCGGUACUUCCA